CUCCCGGAAGGGGUGGAGCUUGACUCCACUUCUCCUAGACUUCAUAUACAGGCUGACCAGCACUAAGGCAGCAUUGCUUUGAGAUUGCUCCUCUGUGGAGGUUGGAUAGCCAGCCUCAGCAUUUCCCAGUCAGACUGAGGCAUCAAUAUUGGAACAACAAGAAAUUUUUUGAAAGAACCCAGAAAGCAAAAAAAGGCUUCCAGAAGCAUCUAGAUGCUAGGUAAGCUUUAAUUACAAAUGUUAAGCACUCCAAGAGAACCUUCCUAGGAGUUACUAAAGUUAUGACUUUAUAAAGCAAUGGACUUCACACUCAGGAAAACCUUCCCUUUGCCUGGUGUAGAGGAUAAGACAAUCUGGAAAAAAAUGGAUUCCUGGAAGUACUUCAAAACAAAACAAAACGGUGAGAACUCUGGCCCUAUUUCAUGAUGAGGGAAGAAUUUCCUUAUAGUGUAAUCCUACCAAAUACCAUUCAAAUUACCUAGUACAACUGGGAGUACAACUCUUGGAAAACCGAUUCACCAAGUGCUGUGUGAUCAUGCAGACAAAGCUGGGAAACUGAAUCAUUCUCUGCAUCUCCUCUAGGCCUUUAUGUCUUAAUAGCUUUGGACAAGGAAGCCUUUUCAUAGAAACUGUCAAAAGCAGAGCUGAGGAAAAUCAUCAGAUUCCCUCAUGGUUUGCUGCCAGGAACCAGAUAGGUCAAGCCUAGGUUCCCUGGCUGGGUUUUGAUAAAUAGGAUGUUGAUUCAAGAUAUUAAGUCAGCAAAUGAAAGAAGUGAUUACACGGGAGGAAAAAAAAAAAAGAAAAAAUUUGCUGGAAGUAAUUGAAAGGAAUGAAGAUAGGAUGUUUUUUUCACCCUCAGCCCAACUGCCAGACAAAAUGAGGAUCUGUGCACUGAAAUGAAUAUUUCUCUUUCUCUACACAAAAGCUCUUUCUAGCCAAAUUCUCUGUGAGCUACAUACAGCUCGCAAGUAUGUCUGUUUGAUGAGAAAUAAUUUGAUCAAAGUAACAUUUUCUCUGGCAGGUGAACACAAGCCCUUUCUACCUCACAAAGCGCUUUCUUACAACUUUGAGCCAUUUGGUGGCCCACACUGUUCUAGAAGACUGGCCCUAUCUCAAGUUCCCACCAACCUCUUUCAGCUUCCCCAAAGGAAUCUCAGGCUGCUGGGAAGUUAACGAAGCUGUUUUAAUUCCCUCACUAACAGCUUCCAAAAGACGCCUACACCUGGCCAACAUUCUCAACAGAUCACCUGGAAGUGCUAGAAGCAAUCCAUUCUAACAAGUGUAUUUUUUUCAGAGGCGGUUAGAAGCUAAGCUGUUUUGGCUCUGAAUCUUGCAGGUGAACUUUUAUAAACUCAUUCUUCCAGGGACGUGACAUUAUUUAUGCUCUUUCUCUAUCUCUUCCUGGCAGAAAGCAUUUUUCUUUCAUAGAGGGGAAUUCAAAUGAGGUUUCAAAUAUUGUCCAAAAAUUGUGUCCCGACAUGUCUAUCUCUGAUCAAAUGUUUUAACAAUCUUUUUUUUCCCCCCUCCCCUCAACACUCUAAGUACUGCAAUUUUGAUUCAACAAGCAGUCUCUUUAUUCCUCAGGUUAUAGAGGUAUAUGUUUAUUUGGCUUUCAGAUAAGCUUCUCCUGCUAACGGUUUGUACCCACCAGCUACAUUAAUCUUAGGCAGACAAGUUAAAUAACUUAGGCCAGACACCAGGGAAAACCAGAGGCUACCAAGAUAUUUGCUCAGAACAGAACAUGCACAGAGAUGGCUAGUGCUGUACCACAGCUACUGUUUGUGGUCAAAAAGAUGCAUAGCGUGCAAUCAUGUCUGACGUCACAUACCCCUCAAUGAGAAGACAGUCUAUGUGGUCACCCUCACACUUACACAUUUUCUUUAACAAAAGUAUUAAACACAUGGAAGAUGGAAGAAAGUUCAAGGGACUUCUCCAGCUUGGCUAUUCAGUCUGUGGGUCUAAAGCACUUCAAACUCUUUAAUAAGGAGUACAGAAAUAAAGACACGUGCAGAGGGGACUCCUCAGCAGGAACAUCUUUGUGACUAUGUGCAUCAGAUCAGUGAGAAGCAACUGUUGGCUUGAGAAAGGAGUGCAACCCAGACCCCUGUCAGCGUUAAAAUGACAGGAAGCUCAGAGUAGACUGCUUACGAGCUCAAGACAAGCAAGGCAGAAGAACUGCACUGUUUUAGGGGUAAUGUGUAACACUGCCAAGAUAGGACUCCACAGCUGAAAGGCUUUUCAGACACAUUUCAUGGUUAUUAGAUUGUAAAUUUAGGAGUCUUUGGAGACAUGACAUUUUGCUCUGGUUCCUGUAACAGUGAACAUGCUCAAGUCCCAAAGGACAGAUUUCUUUCUAAAAAACUGUUUUAUGAGAGAAACUUUUGAACUGUGUGCCUUCAUAAUAUAAAAGAUAUAGUAGCUACUAUGACAAGAACAAUGAAUAACACAGAUCCUCUUCCCAACAAAAGACAGCAAAGACUGCAUCAUUUCUUACAGUUCCCAGCUGUAAACUAAAUACUUCACUGACUGCAUCUUGCCAUACUUCACUAAGUUCUUCUUAUUCCCUUGAAAAACAAAAAUACAUGCCACACGGGUAAACCUGCAGAGUGCCCUCUGUUGACAGUACACAAAAACUAGAUGUCACAGCAAGUGUUCUCUCAUGACACAUCAAGUAGAGUGACCUGCAGAGCUAAGUAUUUAUGCAGUCUCUCUCUCACCUGCAUACAAAGGCCUUUGGCAACAGGGAGGCAAGUUUCAAAGCUGUACAAGAUGCAUAUAAUCUCUGUUCUGCUAGGGAAGACACAGUGAUGACUAGGUGGAGAUGUUGAUUUAACAUACUACAGGAUCAUUUCAACUUUUCUUAUGCAAUAUUUUCACAUGUAUGGUGAUAUUCAUUGUUCAACAAGAAGAGAAAAAACACAAGUAACGUUCACUGCAUUGUUUAGUCCUUUGUGCAGAAAGAAUUUUCUCAGUACAGAAAAAAAGGGUGUCAAAACCUACUGCAUGCUAAGUACUUACAAUGGCUAAUUCCUACCCAUUCAAAGGCCCUUUUAAACAAACUUAUUUUUGACUACUCACGUUCACAUAUAUUUGUGUUCCCGGCUGUUGCAGGUUGCCACCGUUUCUGAUUAUAGCCAGGGCAGCAGUGGUCACAGGUUUCCCCACAAGUGUUAUGCUGGCAUUCACAAUGAAACCUACAGAAUUAAAGUCACUUAUUAUACUGAA